UAUGGAGGGUGCGAGCGUUGUCCGGAAUCACUGGGCGUAAAGGGCGCGUAGGCGGCCUGAUAAGUAGGGGGUGAAAUCCUGCGGCUUAACCGCAGGGCUGCCUUCUAAACUGUCAGGCUAGAGCACGGUAGAGGCAGAUGGAAUUCCCGGUGUAGCGGUGGAAUGCGUAGAGAUCGGGAAGAACAUCAGUGGCGAAGGCGGUCUGCUGGGCCGUUGCUGACGCUGAGGCGCGACAGCGUGGGGAGCAAACAGG
rnacentral:rRNA from 1 species